AGAGUUUGAUCCUGGCUCAGGACGAACGCUGGCGGCGUGCCUAAUACAUGCAAGUCGGGCGGGGUUUUGGGGAGCUUGCUCCUUAAAACCCAGCGGCGGACGGGUGAGUAACACGUGGGCAACCUGCCCGCAAGACCGGGAUAACUCCGGGAAACCGGGGCUAAUACCGGAUAGGACUCCGGAUCGCAUGAUCCGGGGUGGAAAGGUGGCCUUCGGCUGCCGCUUGCGGAUGGGCCCGCGGCGCAUUAGCUAGGUGGUGAGGUAACGGCUCACCAAGGUGACGAUGCGUAGCCGACCUGAGAGGGUGACCGGCCACACUGGGACUGAGACACGGCCCAGACUCCUACGGGAGGCAGCAGUAGGGAAUUUUCCGCAAUGGGCGAAAGCCUGACGGAGCAACGCCGCGUGAGCGAGGACGGCCUUCGGGUUGUAAAGCUCUGUUCUUCGGGAAGAAUGGCGGGAGGGUGAAUAGCUCUCUCGUUUGACGGUACCGAAGGAGAAAGCCCCGGCUAACUACGUGCCAGCAGCCGCGGUAAUAC
rnacentral:rRNA from 1 species